rnacentral:rRNA from 1 species
AUUGAACGCUGGCGGAAUGCUUUACACAUGCAAGUCGAACGGUAGAGGGGGGCAACCCCUUGAGAGUGGCGAACGGGUGAGUAAUAUAUCGGAACGUGCCCAGUCGUGGGGAUAACGUAGCGAAAGUUACGCUAAUACCGCAUACGAUCUAAGGAUGAAAGCGGGGGAUCGCAAGACCUCGCGCGAUUGGAGCGGCCGAUAUCAGAUUAGGUAGUUGGUGAGGUAAAGGCUCACCAAGCCAACGAUCUGUAGCUGGUCUGAGAGGACGACCAGCCACACUGGAACUGAGACACGGUCCAGACUCCUACGGGAGGCAGCAGUGGGGGAAUAAUUGGACAAUGGGCGAAGCCUGAUCCAGCAAUGCCGCGUGAGUGAUGAAGGCCUUAGGGUUGUAAAGCUCUUUACCCGGGACUGAUAAUGACAGUACCGGGAGAAUAAGACUCCGGCUAACUCCGUGCCAGCAGCCGCGGUAAU